CCCUUGUUAUCCCUGCUAUCCACGUGCCCCCCCUUGUUAUCCUCGUGCUCCCGGCCUUGUAGCGGUGCCGUGGCGGGGCGUGUAGGCGUUGACAUGUAAGCCCCGGUCGUCUACCCUCCGUGCCCUAUGGGGGUCCGUGGACGGGGCAGCACUCACGGUCAACGGCACUGCCCAUACACUUAGUCCACCCUGGCGGGGACCUCACCAAUGACCUCCCAGACAAGCCAGUUGGUCUGAAGGCCAUGGCACUGAAUGACCACAUCAGGGUGUGCUGGCAGCCCCCCGCACAGCACAAUGUGAUGCUGUGCGGCUACACCAUUGCCUGGGACCAAGGCGUGGCGGACAUCUACUCCAAGAUCGUGGACAGCAAGCAGCACGGUUACAUCAUUGAUAAGCUGGAACCCAACAUGGAGUUUGUGAUAAGCCUGCGAGCCUUCAACAACGUGGGUGACGGGCAACCGGUGUACCAGCAAGUCCGCACCCAGCCAGAGGAGGAGGAGGUGGUGGCACCCACGCUGGACCCGGCGGUGUGGGUGAAGGCCGUGGUGCUGACGCCCUUCACCGUGGUGCUGCAGUGGGCGGACACCAUGCUGAGCCAGAACCAGUACAACAGCUGCACCACCUUCUCGUCCUCAUCCUCCAGCCGCUACGUCAACGCCACGGAUGUGACCUGCCUCAUUGACAGCCUCAAGCCAUCAACAGUGUGUGAGUUUGCCGUGAAGACCAUCAGGGUGAGACCACAGUGCUGGAAGCCUUCGUUCUUCUUUCAGUAAAUAUUCACUCAGUCCUGCACCUGCAACACUUCUCAAGGAAAUCCUGCACAGCUGAAUCCUUGCUGUGAUGAGGCACAGAGAAAUUAUGACUCAUAGGGUUUGGUGUGAGUCCCCCUAUAGCCUGGUGGCCUCCAACACCCUGCUGGUGGCCCGGCCGUCCUGGCCCUCCCUGGCGAGCCAUCCACCAGCACCUUCACCCGGCAGCCGUCCACCACCACCUUCACCCGGC